ACUCCCGGAAGCCCCGCCCACCCACCGUAGUCAGACCAGGAGGAAUAGAGGCACUGCGAUGCGUCGGGACUGAAGAGGACGUCGAGGAUGGCCCAGCCCACGUCGCGACCCCGCCAGCAGCGCAGCGCCCGCAGCCCCGACCCCCGGCACGAGUAGACACGCAGCGUCUGGUCUGCAGCACCAAACAACCCAAAUCCCCGCGUUUCAACCCAAAAUUCGGGCUCAGAAGGUGAGAAAACCCAAAGCGUCUGGUCUGCAGCACCAAACAACCCAAAUCCCGACAUUUCAGCCCAAAAUCUGGGCUCACAACGCGAUGAAACCCUGAGGAUCUGAUAUGGGGGGGAAAAGGACCAAAUUUCCUGCAUUUCAGCCCAAAAUCGACCCAUUUCAGCCCAAAAUCUGGGCUCAGAAGGUGAGAAAACCCAAAGCGUCUGGUCUGCAGCACCAAACAACCCAAAUCCCCACGUUUCAACCCAAAAUUUGGGCUCAGAAGGUGAGAAAACCCAAAGCGUCUGGUCUGCAGCACCAGGUAACGAAAUUUCUGGCAUUUCAGCCCAAAAUCGACCCAUUUCAGCCCAAAAUCUGGGCUCCCAAUGCAAGGAAAACAUCAGCAUCUGGUUUGCAGCACCAAACAACCCAAAUCCCCACGUUUCAACCCAAAAUCUGGGCUCAGAAGGUGAGAAAACCCAAAGCGUCUGGUCUGCAGCACCAAACAACCCAAAUCCCCGCGUUUCAACCCAAAAUUUGGGCUCAGAAGGAGGAAACCCGCAGCGUCUGGUCUGCAGCACCAAACAACCCAAAUCCCCACGUUUCAACCCAAAAUCUGGGCUCAGAAGGUGAGAAAACCCAAAGCGUCUGGUCUGCAGCACCAGGUAAUGAAAUUUCUGGCAUUUCAGCCCAAAAUCGACCCAUUUCAGCCCAAAAUCUGGGCUCAGAACGCGAGGAAACCCUGAGGAUCUGAUAUGGGGGGAAAAAUAACCAAAUUUCCUGCAUUUCAGCCCAAAAUCGACCCAUUUCAGCCCAAAAUUUGGGCUCACAAUGCGAGGAAACCCUGAGGAUCUGAUAUGGGGCGAAAAAGAACCAAAUUUCCUGCAUUUAAGCCCAAAAUCGACCCAUUUCAGCCCAAAAUUUGGGCUCCCAACGCAAGGAAACCCAAAGCAUCUGGUUUGCAGCACCAAAGAACCAAAAUCCCCACGUUUCUGCCCAAAAUUCGAGCUCAAAACGCGAGGAAACUCUGAGGAUCUGAUAUGGGGCGAAAAAGAACCAAAUUUCCUGCAUUUCAGCCCAAAAUCGACCCAUUUCAACCCAAAAUCUGGGCUCACAACGCGAGGAAAUCCAAAGCGUCUGGUUUGCAGCACCAAAGAACCAAAAUCCCCACGUUUCAACCCAAAAUCUGGGCUCAGAAGGUGAGAAAACCCAAAGCGUCUGGUCUGCAGCACCAAACAACCAAAAUUGACCCAUUUCAGCCCAAAAUCUGGGCUCACAACAAAAGGAAACCCAAAGCAUCUGGUUUGCAGCACCAAAGAACCAAAAUCCCCACGUUUCUGCCCAAAAUUCGAGCUCAAAACGCGAGGAAACUCUGAGGAUCUGAUAUGGGGCGAAAAAGAACCAAAUUUCCUGCAUUUCAGCCCAAAAUCGACCCAUUUCAGCCCAAAAUCUGGGCUCACAACGUGAGACAAUCCGCAGCAUCUGGUCUGCAGCACCAAACAACCAAAAUCCCCACGUUUCAA
rnacentral:lncRNA from 1 species